rnacentral:lncRNA from 1 species
GGGUAGAGGUCAUUCAGAACCAUCCUCAAUUCAUUCUUGUUCAAGUGCUUAGUAAUGUCCCUUUCAAUAUUAUUUAUAUCUCCUUUAUGUAUGGUAGCCUCGAUAGGCAGAAGUGGAAGCUCCUUUGGGAUGAUUUGAAAUUUUCCAUGUUGAAAAAAUCUGAUUUGAAAAUGAUUUUCUUGCACAUCAAAAAAUAAAAAUUUUGAAAAUUGACUUGAUUUGUGAUAUUUAUAGCAAUAAACCUUACACCGAAAUUAUACUUGUGUUUUUCGAUAAGCAGAUCCUUGAUUUUUUUGGAUUUUAACCAAAUAAUAUUCUUUAUUAUUCUCAUACCACGAACUACUUCAAGUGUGGGCUCGAACCAAUUGAAUCAAAACAUAAAACUAGAAGAAGUUUUUCUUUUGGAGUGAAAAUAAAAAUUCUCUCUUCUUUAAUAGAAACUGAUAACUCUUGAAAAGAGUUAUAAUUAAUGCCUUUAAACUGGGUCAAUUAUCUGUACUUAAGUGAACUUAGUUGCAUUUUAGGAUAUUAUUUUAGCUUUUUUAGGACAUUGCAUAAGAAGCUUGGACGGUACUUAAAUAUUAAUAUUUGUUACUUUUAAUUGCAUGUGGAAAGGUUGUGUUUGGCGAUUUGGUAGGUGCAGGAUGCGAAGAAAGAAAUAAAGGAAUGCAGAUUUGUUGUGGCAAAAGGUUGGAUAGUUUACCAACACGAAUGUCGUGGCAAUUCCAAGAAGACUGAGUCAACACUCAAUGCAUACUAGUUUCAGCCCAACUGUACUUGUACCGAAAAAUCUGCCUAAAAUAGAGGAGAAAAUAAUCCUGGGAUGUUGGUUUUUAUCCUAGAAAAAAAUUUAAAAAGUGGAGAAGUUAAAAAUGGUUUGUUGGAAAAAAAGUUAUAAAAAACCAAAGGAGGAAACCUUAAAGGACGAACAAGGGUGAAGAUCCAUAUGCGAAACUAGAGGCUAGCGAUUGACUAGAGACAGAAAGAGGAAGACGGAGACAGUCCCUCUCAACCAUCAGAGGACACUGUGUCAUUGGAGUAUGAACUGGACACAUGAAAGCUGUCUUCCCGUCAUUCUUCUAUUAUUUCUUAACUAUUUCCCCAUAAAUUGAUUUGAUGAAAACGAUG